GACGAACGCUGGCGGCGUGCUUAACACUUGCAAGUCGAACGCUGAAGCUUGGUGCUUGCACUGGGUGGAUGAGUGGCGAACGGGUGAGUAAUACGUGAGUAACCUGCCCUUGACUCUGGGAUAAGCCUGGGAAACUGGGUCUAAUACUGGAUACGACAUGUCACCGCAUGGUGGUGUGUGGAAAGGGUUUUACUGGUUUUGGAUGGGCUCACGGCCUAUCAGCUUGUUGGUGGGGUAAUGGCUCACCAAGGCGACGACGGGUAGCCGGCCUGAGAGGGUGACCGGCCACACUGGGACUGAGACACGGCCCAGACUCCUACGGGAGGCAGCAGUGGGGAAUAUUGCACAAUGGGCGGAAGCCUGAUGCAGCGACGCCGCGUGAGGGAUGACGGCCUUCGGGUUGUAAACCUCUUUCAGCACGGAAGAAGCGAAAGUGACGGUACGUGCAGAAGAAGCGCCGGCUAACUACGUG
rnacentral:rRNA from 1 species